GCAUCUAUAGGACAGAUUGAAUCGACCCAAGUGAACAGGAAAAGGGAACUGACAACUAGUUGUUGCUGUAAUUCAAUCAUCACUCAUUACAUAUAUAAUGGAUUUCUGAUGCGCUAGUACAACCUGUAGUAUACGCAAAGCAGGGUAGACCCUGUGAACCGAAGUCAUGGUCUCAGUCGUCGCUAGUUUCUCUGAUCUAGUACUCUACAUGCUGCUAUGAAUGUUUUAGCAAGCAGAGGGAGAGUCAGGCCUUGUUUAGUUUGCAAAAAUUUUCAAGAUUCCCCAUCACAUCGAAUCUUUAGUCGCAUACAUAGAACAUUAAAUAAAGAUAAAAAUAAAAACUAAUUACACAGUUUAUCUGAAAUCUAUGAGAUGAAUCUUUUGAGUUUAGUUACUCCGUGAUUGAACAAUGUUUGUCAAAUAAAAACGAAAGUGCUACAGUAGCAAAAAAAAAAAACCAAAAUUUUGCCGACUAAACAAGGACUCAGUCAUCGUCUCCUCUUGAGGCUUGUGUAUGGUACAGCACGGCCUUCCUCCAAGUCCAAGUCCAUGUGCGCCACUGCCUGUUUUUCCACUGUCUCCCUAGAUCACGGUGAUGGUUAGAGCAUCUCCAACCAUUAUGCAUUUGAAUUUAUACAUUUUAGGCAAAUUGCGAAUUCCCAAAUGAAAAUGACAAGGCUAAAAUCGGAUGAUCUCCAACCGUUAUGUAAAAUGCCAAGUCCAUCAUCUUUUUUUUCCCGGAAAUUUUGUUUCGCGGCACUCCUUCCCGCGCGGCCUCGAUCCCGCGCCAAACAGCCCGCCGUCGUCUCCCGUUCACCAAUUCCCGCGCCAAACAGCCGCGCAGUACCGACCGUGAGUUGCGCAGUUCGUCGUUCCCGUUCGCAGUACCGAUCUCCCGUUCCGUUAGUUCCCGUUCACCGUACCGUCUGUUGGCCAUCAGUUCGUCGUCGUACAGGUUCGCCCCUUGGCUCCAGUACCGAUCUCCAUCAGGUCGCCGCCAUCAGUCAAGCUGGCGAAGGAGGACGCACGAUGCUUCUCCUAUCGCGUGAAGUGGUGGCGGCGCGAAGGGAAACCGCGCGAAGGGAAGAAAAAAGCUCGCGAGGUGGAACCGAGAAUCCCUUAAUCUCUAUUUGCAUAGCCGGACUCCUUUGGCAUAUAUGCCAAAUUUCCCCCUCCAAAUGCAUAGCUAUGUAAAAUGCAAAGUCCAAAUGCAUAACGAUUGGAGGGGUUUUUUUGGAGUUUUAUGCAUUUUGGUAAAUGCCAAGUCCAUUUGCAUAAUGGUUGGAGUUGCUUUUAUGUUUGCAACUGGAGACUAGUGCAAGCGAAUCUGCUGGGCUACCAAACUAGCAGUCCACUGGUUCAGUUCAGUUCCUGUCAAUUCUUCGGAACAAACCUUCUACUCCCUCCAUUCUAAUUGGAAAUCAUUCCAAGAAUCACGUAGAGUCAAAGCAUUCUCACGUUUGACCAAAAUUAUAGAGAAAAAUAAUAAGAUUUGUAAUGUAAAGUGAGUAUACUAUAAAAAUAUAAUUGAGCAAGAAUCUAAUGAUAUUUAGUUAGUAUCAUAACAAUAAUUAUUUUAUCAUAUAAAUUUGGUCAAACUUAGAAAAGUUUGACUCUGCAAGAUUCUUGGAAUGACUUACAAUUUUGGAUAGAGGGAGUACGUUACUUCGUAGUAGCACGUUCAAACCUUCAGAUGGACGGGAUCAAAUAAGUUCUUUCCAUCGAGCUUAAACCGAUGAAGAUUCGCAAUUACCGAAAUUGGUUGGCUCAUCAUACUCUGCAGUUCUUCAAGAGAAACGAAUGAGUCCGUUAACAUUCCAACUUCAUUAUUCAUGGAUGCCAGAUUCCGGAAAGAAGAGGAUGAGGAAACCAUGCAUAGAAACACGCUUCCAGAAUGCAGAGUUGUGAGAAAACUAAGCGUAAAACACAUUUCCACACUAAUAAAUUGGGUGGAGUUCUCCUAGUGUCUUUAAUUAGUAAUAAAAUACUACCAGUAGUCAUAACACUAGAGAAUACUCAAUAAGAUAAGACACAUUAAGAGAGAAAGUUUGUACUAAAUUUUGAAUGCUAAAACACUAGGAGAAGACCACAUUACUGAGAAAUUGAAAAUUUUGGUUGUGCCAUAACACUGUCAUAGGAAAAAAAAACACAACCAUAGAAUCAACGGUCCAGUCCUAGUCAACAUGGGAGGCAAUGCACCUGGCCAUCUGCGCGUUUCCACUUUACAGCACAGACACACAGCAGGCAGUACAUGUAAGAAUAGCGAUUCAGCAGAGUGCAUGAUGGCAUGGGACCUGAUGAUCCGAGGGAGGCAAUGCAUCUGGCCAUCUGCGUGUUUCCAUAUGUACUGCUAGUAUUGUUUGCUGAUUUAUUGUGAGAGAAAAAUACUACUGACUGGUACAAAAAAUACGGCUUAUAAGACAACCGACCGGAGCCUCAUUAUCAGUCAGAGCAACCAAUAAGCUCUACGCCGCCGCUGCUGCUGGCAAUGAACCGAAAGCCACCACCGGCCAUGGUGCUCCUCAGAAUCAGGCGCUUGCUCCAGCUGCUCCUACUGACCUCCGCUGCAGCAACAACCAGUGCAACGAUCUAUUCGCCAGGCCAUGGCCAUGGCCAUGACCAUGACGAUGAGAGAGCUCUUCUGUCACUCAAGGCCAAGAUCUCCCGCCACUCUGGCGUCCUGGAUUCGUGGAACCAGAGCAGCAGCUACUGCAGCUGGGAGGGCGUCACUUGCGGCAAGAGACACGCGUGGCGGGUGGUCGCUCUGGACCUCAGCUCCCAGGGGCUCGCCGGCACCAUCUCCCCCGCCAUCGGCAACCUCACCUUCCUGCGCUUACUCAACCUGAGCUACAACAGCCUUCAUGGCGAGAUACCUGCUAGCGUUGGCUCCCUCAGGCGCCUUCGACGUCUUCACCUGAGCGGGAACAUGAUCACUGGUGUCAUCCCGAGUAACAUCAGCCGCUGCAUCAGCCUCCGUGGGAUUAUCAUCCAAGACAACAAAGGCCUGCAGGGAAGCAUCCCAGUUGAGAUUGGCAGCAUGCCAGCGCUCUCAGUUCUUGCGCUGGACAACAACAGCAUUACCGGAACCAUCCCGUCGUCUCUUGGGAAUCUUUCACGGCUGGCCGUGCUGUCCUUGCCAAGGAACUUCCUCGAGGGACCAAUCCCUGCAACCAUCGGCAACAAUCCAUAUCUCACCUGGCUUCAGCUCUCUGCUAAUGACCUCUCUGGCUUGCUCCCUCCUUCCCUAUACAACCUAUCAUUUCUUCAGGACUUUUUUGUGGCUAGCAACAAGCUGCAUGGCCAUCUACCAACUGACCUGGGGAAAAGCCUUCCGAGCAUCCAACAGUUUGGGAUUGGAGAAAACCGAUUUACUGGCACACUUCCACUGUCACUGACCAAUCUCUCAAAGCUCCAGACUCUUUAUGCCGGAUUCAAUAGUUUUACUGGAAUUGUUCCCACCGGAUUGAGCAGAUUGCAAAAUCUUGAAUCACUUCUUCUGGAUGACAAUAUGUUAGAGGCAAAUAACGAGGAGGAGUGGGCAUUUAUUGAUUCUUUGGCGAAUUGUAGCGGGUUACAGACACUGUCCAUUGGAAGGAACAGGCUUGCGGGGAAGCUGCCAGGUUCUGUGGCAAAUUUGUCCACUAAUCUCCAGUGGCUACAGAUUCCCUACAACAACAUAUCGGGUGUCAUCCCAUCAGAUAUUGGAAAUUUGGCAAGUCUUCAAAUGCUUGAUUUUCGCAUAAACUUGCUCACUGGGGUCAUUCCUGAAAGCAUAGGGAAGCUUACAUUACUGCAGAAGCUAGGCCUGAUUUCAAACUCCCUCUCAGGACGUCUGCCAUCCUCUAUCGGAAACCUUUCUAGUCUACUUGAAUUUGAUGCAAACGGCAAUAGCUUCUACGGGCCAAUUCCACCAAGCAUUGGAAACUUGAGCAAACUUUUAGGCCUAGAUCUGUCAUAUAACAAGCUUACUGGACUGAUUCCUAGAGAAAUUAUGGAGCUGCCAUCGAUCUCAAUUGAUCUUGAUCUGUCCAACAGCAUGUUGGAGGGAGCACUUCCAUUAGAAGUUGGUAGCUUGGUAUAUCUUGAACAGCUCUUCCUAUCAGGAAACAAUUUGUCAGGUGAGAUACCUGAUACUAUUGGCAAUUGCAGGGUCAUGGAAAUCCUCUCAAUGGAUGGCAAUUCACUCCAAGGAAGCAUACCUGCUACAUUCAAGAACAUGGUAGGCUUGACUGUACUUAAUUUGACGGACAACAGGCUGAAUGGAAGCAUCCCUAGCAACCUGGCUACCCUUACCAACCUACAGGGUUUGUAUCUUGGCCACAAUAAAUUAUCUGGAACAAUCCCAGAGAUUUUAGGUAAUUCAACAUCGCUGCUUCACCUAGAUCUGUCUUACAAUAAUUUGCAAGGUGAAAUACCAAAAGGAGGAGUUUUCAAAAAUUUGACUGGACUAUCAAUUGUUGGUAACAAUGAGUUAUGCGGGGGAAUACCACCGCUCCAUCUGCCAAAAUGCCCAAGCUCUUGCACAAGAAAGAAUAGAAAAGGCAUACCCAAGUUUCUUAGAAUAGCAAUCCCAACAAUAGGAAGUCUCAUCUUACUUUUUCUGGUUUGGGCUGGAUUUCACCACAGAAAGUCCAAGACAGCACCGAAGAAAGAUUUACCAACAGAAUUUCCAGAGAUAGAGCUUCCAAUAGUUCCAUACAACGAUAUACUGAAAGGAACAGACAGAUUUUCUGAAGCAAACGUGCUUGGAAAGGGAAGAUAUGGUACAGUAUAUAAGGGCACCCUAGAAAAUCAAGCCAUUGUUGUAGCUGUUAAGGUAUUCAAUCUCCAGCUAUCAGGGUCAUAUAAAAGUUUCCAGGCGGAAUGUGAGGCACUAAGGAGAGUAAAGCACCGAUGCCUUGUAAAAAUCAUCACAUGUUGUUCAAGCAUCGACCACCAAGGUCAGGACUUUAGAGCACUAGUCUUUGAGUUGAUGCCUAAUGGAAGCUUAGAUAGAUUGAUCCAUUCAAAUUUAGAAGGCCAAAAUGGCCAAGGAGCACUCAGCUUGUCACAGUGGCUGGAUAUAGCUGUGGACAUUGUGGAUGCUUUGGACUAUCUUCAUAACGGUUGCCAGCCAUCGAUCAUCCAUUGCGAUCUAAAGCCAAGUAACAUUCUUCUCAAUCAGGACAUGAGGGCUCGUGUUGGGGAUUUUGGAAUUGCUAGAGUUCUAGAUGAAGCAACAAGCAAACAUCCUGUGAAUUCUGGGAGCACAUUAGGAAUAAGAGGUUCCAUCGGUUACAUUGCGCCAGGUAGCUCUAAUUUGUUGUUCUGUUUCCCAUGUGCUUCACAUGAUAGCAUCCAAUUAAUUAUCCCUAGGCCCAUCAAAUAUUGUACAUACCUACAUGUGUUCAUGUUUUAAUCCAAUGCAGAAUAUGGAGAAGGUCUUGCAGUAUCGACUUGCGGUGACAUGUUUAGUCUUGGUAUCACCUUGCUAGAGAUAUUCACAGCAAAAAGGCCAACAGAUGAUAUGUUCAGAGAUGGUUUAAGCCUACAUGGUUAUGCUGAGGCGGCUCUUCCUGACAAAGUUAUGGAGAUAGCAGAUUCCAACCUAUGGCUGCAUGAUGAAGCAAGCAAUAGCAAUGAUACAAGGCAUAUAACAAGAAGCAGGAAAUGUUUGUCCGCCAUCAUUCAGCUUGGUGUCCUUUGCUCAAAGCAAUUGCCCUCAGAGCGUUUGUCAAUAAGCGAUGCUACUGCAGAGAUGCAUGCUAUCAGAGAUAAGUAUAUUAGUGCUCAGUGAUGUCAGAUUGGCUACCAUGUUUGUCUAAUUUUAUUGUCAAAGUCCAUAUGUAAUAUAUUUGCUUCUUUUUUGCUUGUGAGUUUGUAGACCUUAUAUUAGUUGGUAUUGUUAUGGUGCUGUGUUGCCAAUACCAUAGGCAGCAUCAUUCAUGAAUCAUGAAAGAAAUUUUGAUUAUCCUGAGAAAAAUCCACAUUUCCGACUAGUUCCCACCUCAAAGUUGAACCCCACCGUUAUAAACACAAGAAUGUGCACAAUAUGCAGUAAUUUGCAAAGUUGAAAAAGAAUAUCAUUGUGACAUGCAUUAUGAAACACAUGUGGUGACAUGCUAUUACAGUAAGGCAAUGUGUGGCGACCCACUCCCCUCACAACGCCUAGGCGCAUAAGGUGCGAGGUGAAGCGAUGCCAUGGACAUAUAAUGAACAUGCUAUUACAGUGUUGGAAAAGUGAUCCCGGGCUAGUGGAGAUGGGCCAAUGCCCAGAACCAUUGAGCCCAAGUCAGGGGGGGGGGGGGGGGGGCACGUAGCUCCUCUGUGCGCCAUGAUCGGGGGCGGCCCCUAACAACCUAAGGUUGUGGCCCCAAGCUGAGACUGAGAGGCACUACAUGUAGUGGGAAGACAGUUACCUGUGUGAGUCAACGCAUGCACAAAAGUGCCCUCCCCGGAUCAAGAAGAGGCUGUGCUACGAGGUGGCACUGGUGGAUCAGAGGUGAGGUGGUACGUCUGCAAUCUCGAUCUACUUCGCUGAUGGUGGACUAUCCAGCUCUAGAUUAUGGUUAGUCACCAAUUCACAUUAGAUUAAAUUGUGUCCAAGUGAUUAGAUCAGAGAUCCUGUGGUUCACUCCCCAAUUUAUCCAAUAUUGUGGCAUCCGAGCCAACUGAUCUAGUUGCUGGACCACUGAUGCGUCGAUUUCACCUCGGAUUAAGUUAAUUUUGAGGUGAAAUUACCUGUUUAGUGCCCUAAUUGCUCUCGGUUGUGCUUAAUUAGCCAUGCUGACGAUGUUCCAGGCCCUAUUUAAUCAUGCUCUAAGACAAUUAAGUGUCUGGUUAUGCCUAAACCUAAUUAUGCAUGUUUAGGGCCCAGGUUUAGUUAAUCAUAAUGAUUAGUCACGGGUUAAUGAUGUUGUGCCCAAUUUGAUGCCUACUUGCUAACAGAUUUUAGUCCUAAUAAUUGUGUAUGAAAUCGUGGCAAAAUUCACGUGCGGGGCUAAGGUUCGGAUCAGCAUGUAGACGUGGGGGAGUCAUGUAAAUCUCAAAAAAAACUCUCCAAAUUACCGAACCCUAGAUCAUGAUUUUCGGGAUGAUUACCUCGGUUUGGUGUCGCUGUCGGCUGUCGCUGCUAGGUGUCCGCUCGUGCAGCCUUGCCGGACGCGCCAUCAGGCGUGCGCAGGCGAUCUCGCACGCAUGAGCUGGCAGCCUGGCAGAGUGCCACCGAUGCCACGCGCGCAUCAGGGAGGCACCGCAACUGCGCCGACCGCGGACCACGCCGCGCAUCAGGGUGCCGCUCUCGCGCGGCCGCCGCACAUAAGGGCGGCGACGGAGCCGCCGCGCGCCGUGCUGCACAGGCCAUCACGCGGCUUCCGCUUCGCCACCGUGCUGCACAGACCUCCCGAGCGCAGUCUUCACCGGCACCGGCGACGAGCCGCUCGUCAGAGCCGCACCGCACGCGCGCUCCGGCGAGUGGGCCGUCGCCAGAUUCCCAGCAGCUGACCCUGCUUGCGUGAAAACCAUCGGAUGGUCGUUAUAGUUGCGGGCCAUAAGUGGGCUGGCAAGCUUGACGAGCGGGUAACCGUCAUCGCGGCCCAUUAAGCUAGUGCGGGUGCACGUUAAGCCAGUGUGGUAUGCUUUUAUUGUUUUUUAGCCAUGCGUUUGGC
rnacentral:lncRNA from 1 species